CAGAUUAUUAUUUUUUUAAUCUCCAAACAUGUUUACCAUGAUUUUUUUGUUGUGUUUUCCAGUUAUUCCAGAUCUAAUACAUCAAAUGAAAACUUGAACAAAUGAAACCCCCUGUCUAGGUUAGAUUGUGUUUCAUCUAUUGUUCUUGUCUUCAGCUUCUGGCCACCGAGAUCGGUGUUGCUUCAACACAGAUCACCAAAGCAGACAAAGCUGAGCAUAUCAAAAGAAAAAGACACAAUUUUCCACACCACACACCGGGAUUUGGGGGCCAGACUUCGUACUGUGGUACAGGGUUUUCUGGGCUCAAGCACUGGAGCAGAGGAUCCUAGAGUGGUGUGGAUGGCACAUCAGUGCAACAAACUGUUUAGAUACAACUAUUUCCUGCAGAAGCUGCACCAUCAGGCCCAUCAAGACCUUUAACCUCCACCACUCCUUCUGUUUCUGCUUCAUCGCCGACUCUAAAGGUGGGAAUGAUUCACUGAUCUCACACUGCCACAGCACUCUAUGUCAAUAUACUAACAAGGAUAAGAAACGUUACAGGGAAUGAAAACUGAAAAUGG
ensembl:lncRNA